rnacentral:misc_RNA from 1 species
UCUCCGUUGGUGAACCAGCGGAGGGAUCAUUACAGAGUUUAUUAUAACUCCUAAACCCAUGUGAACCUACCUUCUGUUGCCUCGGCAGGCAAGUCGUAUCUUGCUACCCUAUAGGACCCUAUCUUGUAAGACGUUACCUUAUAAGGUCCUAUCCGGUAGAGAGAUGCGGUACUACCUGCCGGUGGACUGAAAAAAAAAUUCUGUUUAAUAAAUGGUAUUCAGAAUCAUGAUAUGGAAAUUAAGUUAAAACUUUCAACAACGGAUCUCUUGGUUCUG